rnacentral:lncRNA from 1 species
GCCAUCAGCCACAAAACUGAAUGCCCACACACAUCUGUAUGUGUGUUCCUCUUUCUCUCUUUUCCGAAACAGGAACAUCCAGCACGCGGCAAAACCUCCUUGAAUGGUUUUGUAGUUUAUUUGCGACGCGGUUUUGUAGUUCAAGGUAUUACAGUCACCAAAUUCUCAGGAGGUGAAGUGAAUUUUGUUUCUUGUUUUUGAGGUGAAAAAAGUGACCUGCUUGCUGAAUAGUAACAUGGAGACCACCCUGACUGGCCACGAUUCGUCUCGUCUUCCUCCCCGGCAAGCAAAGGCAUAGGUGCUAAGCCACUGCUCUCUCUCGCUCUCCCUCAUGCUCUGCGUGUCCACGGCUCGAUAAAAGAUCUCAAUUUUGCGCUGACUGUCUAGGGGUUUACCUUCACAUUUGUUUGUGCUUCUCGAAUUAAAAUACAGGGUUUUAGUGCCAAGUAUAUAAGCUGGAACCCCUUCUCCUACAUGGGUUUUAGUGCUAAGUAAAUAAAAGUUAAUUGCUUUGCUUUUGCCCAUAUGACAUUAUUGCAAUUGAGUUAUAAAAGAGCUCUCCAAUGUUUUCUGGGUUAUAAACUGAGGAUUAGCUGUCCUUUAUUGAUUCAUGGACAUUUUUAUUCUUUCUCCCCUCUAAAGAAUCCAAAGGCAGAGAACUCAAGUCUGACUCUGCCCCCUAUCUCACAGCAGCAUCUCCAACCCCUUCCUGACAAGCUGCAGGUCUUAAACGAGGUCCCAGCCGAGGUAUGCCCUCCUCUCCUUCCUUCCCCUUCCUAUCCAGUGCUUGUGUGAAAACUGACUUGUGUAAUUAUCAAGUAAAUCACUCUGCAUGUUACUUUGGAAGCAGAUUUCAUCCUUCUCAGGAAGAGGAAACCUCAGCUUGCUUAGUUACUUGUCAAUGGCCAAUAAUAUGUAUGUGUUAAUAGUUUCAAGUUUUGACAAGUGGAGCAGUAGGAGCACACAUACAUGUUGUGUUUAUCUUGAUCUGCACUUCCUCACUAGAUUAUUUGUGUCUUUUCUGGCCAUGACAAAUUGCUUUAAUUUGUUUUCCAUUCCAUUCUAUCUAUGACAACUCCAUGAUUCAUUAUUAGGUUUGUAGGUGAGGUUUACUUGCAGCUGACCUGCAGAUUGUAUGUAAACUUGCUCUGUUUUAAAGUAGCUAGCUAGAGACGGUGUCUUGUCUUGCUUCAUAUAUUUGUGCUAUGAUUGGACCUUGUGCAGCAUUACAGCUUUCUGCUAUGCAGCUUACCAUGGCAUGUGUACUGUAGGUGACCUGUGUAUUUCUCAGAUGAAUGAUCAUGGGUGUUGCAUGUUCAUCAGAGAGAGACCUGACUCUGUUCUUUGAAUAUUACAGGAGAUUAUAGCUAAGGAAAAAAAGAUCUGGAAGAUAGAGUAGUUUGACUACAACCAUGACGCUGGUGACUGCCCCUUUCUUGGUUCUGGUGACUGGUGAGGCACUUGCCUUUCCCGUCAAAGGGAAAUUAAAAAGAGUAAAGAUGUUAUUUACAAGACAAAAAGGCCUGAAGCAAAGGACGGAGAGUAUAUCUCAACAAUAAGUAAUUAAACAUGGUGUAAUUCAUCACGCCCUCGGAAUUUUUUGUUGAGCAGAGAUGUCCUAGAGGUUAAAUGGAUCUUCAAGAGGAAGACGGACGUUGAUAGUAGUGUUACUAUCUACAAAGCUAGAAUUGUCAAAACUUGCAUCGACAUAACCCUUUACGAUGAACCUUUUUGUCACCACCAUAAUCGAGAAACAUAUCCUUAUUCCAUUAAGGAUAAUUUUGACCGUUGUCCAGUGAUCUACUCCUAGAUCACUAUUGUACUCCCUUGCUAAAAUUAGUGUAGGGUAUACAAUAGAUCUGGUACAUAGCAUGACAUACUUUAUAGAACCUAUGGCUGAGGCAUAGGGAAUGACUUUCAUUCUCUUUCUAUCUUCUGCCGUGGUCGGGCUUUGAGUCUUACUCAAUUUCACACCUUGUAACACAGGCAAGAACUCUUUCUUUGACUGUUCCAUUUUGAACUACUUUAAAAUCUUGUCAAGGUAUGUACUCAGUGAAAAAACCUAUCAAGCGUUUUGAUCUAUCUCUAUAGAUCUUGAUGCUCAAUAUGUAAGCAGCUUCACCGAGGUCUUUCUUUGAAAAAAUCCUUUCAAACACUUCUUUAUGCUUUGUAG